ACGCUGGCGGCGUGCCUAAUACAUGCAAGUCGAGCGGACUUGAUGGAGUGCUUGCACUCCUGAUGGUUAGCGGCGGACGGGUGAGUAACACGUAGGCAACCUGCCCUCAAGACUGGGAUAACUACCGGAAACGGUAGCUAAUACCGGAUAAUUUAUUUCACAGCAUUGUGGAAUAAUGAAAGACGGAGCAAUCUGUCACUUGGGGAUGGGCCUGCGGCGCAUUAGCUAGUUGGUGGGGUAAUGGCUCACCAAGGCGACGAUGCGUAGCCGACCUGAGAGGGUGAACGGCCACACUGGGACUGAGACACGGCCCAGACUCCUACGGGAGGCAGCAGUAGGGAAUCUUCCGCAAUGGGCGAAAGCCUGACGGAGCAACGCCGCGUGAGUGAUGAAGGUUUUCGGAUCGUAAAGCUCUGUUGCCAAGGAAGAACGUCUUCUAGAGUAACUGCUAGGAGAGUGACGGUACUUGAGAAGAAAGCCCCGGCUAACUACGUGCCAGCAGCCGCGGUAAUACGUAGGGGGCAAGCGUUGUCCGGAAUUAUUGGGCGUAAAGCGCGCGCAGGCGGUUCUUUAAGUCUGGUGUUUAAACCCGAGGCUCAACUUCGGGUCGCACUGGAAACUGGGGGACUUGAGUGCA
rnacentral:rRNA from 1 species